GGGCAUGAUGGUCGUCUUGGCCGGCGGCGCCAUCCCGAAGGGGGAGGAGCUCACUGUGGCCUAUUUGGACGACGCGGCCGCUGUGGAGAAGAAGUGGGGCAUCAAGGCCUGAGGCUCACAGAGGAGUGCUCAGCUC
rnacentral:SRP_RNA from 1 species